UUGAGGAGAAGAACUCACUCAAAACAAUCAAAUAUAACAGUACAGAAUACUGUCAUAUUUAUAGGCAAACCAAACUACUGAUGAACUUCAGCUGACGUCACCAUGAUAGUGACAUCUAACGACCUAACAAACUAUAAACACUAUUCUAUACAAACUACUGACAUGUAACAUCUGAUAAGUAAUAAAAUGUAAAGCUAAGGAAAACUACUGCUUCACGUUCCACUGUUGUAGCCUGAGCACAGAUGUUGAAUCUUCAGUGCAUUCUUCAAAGGAAACAGCAGUAGAUAGAGCAUCAGUGUUUGUCUUCAGCAGUCGUUGGAUAAUCAUCAGAGUUUAGUUUAUCAGUUGUAGUUGAGCAGCACUUAAGAUCCAUCAGCUGUUAGAUAACCACUGUCAAGGGGAGAGUUUAGAGUAAACUUCUGCUUAUUGUGAAUCCAUGAUUGUGAUCAGGUUUUGGCUUUACAUUAUCUGUUCCUCUGAUAGGGUUCAAUCCCAACAAUAUUUUAAUCCAAAAAGCUAGUUUAGUAAAAUUACUUUUUUUGUCUUUUUGUCUUUAUUAUUUUUUAUUACUUUUUUGUUUAUUAUAUUACUUUUUAUUUUUUAAAAAUAAUUUUUUUUAUUAAAAUCAUUUUUAAAUUUAAAUUUUUUUUAACAAGACAAAUUUUUUUGCACGCCGAGCUUUUUUAAGCGUCGUUUAUUAACGUGUCGUUUUUACGCCGGGCUUUUUCAAGCUUCGUUUUUUUAACGAGCCGUUUUUUCAAGCGUCGUUUUUUUAAUGCGCCGUUUUUUGCACGUUUUUUAACACACCGUUUUUUACACUUUUUACGUUAAACUUUUUAAACUUUUUACGUUUUAAGUUUUACUGUUAAACUUUUUACGUUUUAUGUUUUACGUAAAACUUUUUACGUUUUAAGUUUUACGUUAAAAUUUUUACGUUUUACGUUUUACGUAAAACUUAUUACGUUUUUACGUUUUACGUUAAAAGUUUUACGUUUUACGUUUUACCUAAAACUUUUUACGUUUUACGUUUUACAUAAAACUUUUUACGUUUUACGUUUUUAUGUUUAACGUUAAAAAGUUUACCGUUUAAAUUUUUUUUUACAAAAACUUUUUUACGCAAAAACGAACGCAUCCUUAAAUCGCAAACUCUAGAAGUGUCUCAGAUAUAUUGUUAUCAUCAUCUACUAGG
rnacentral:lncRNA from 1 species